GGCACAAACAAACACACAAUUCUAGCUAAUUCAUAUGUAGAACAGGGAUUGGUUCGCGCUAAGAUACAUUUUCGAAGAGUAUCAAACUUUUUCAUUGUCUUGAUUGUCAACAAGUGAUGGAUAGAAUCAUAUUACAAGAUCAGGGAUAUCUUCCUGAGGCAAUUUCAGAACAUACAUUACGAAAACUAAUUUACUUGAGAGCUCUAGUUAGUCCAGAAGUAGAGAGUAGUUUGUCCGCGCAAGUUUAAGAUAUAGCUGUUGCAAAGUUAAUAACUCAUUCAUUUCUGCAAUUAUCGUCAUCUCCUGGACCCUCAAGCCUUUUCUCGGUCAAAAAGAUGUUGGCUACAAUCUUCAGAAUUGACGUCUGGGUGGACGAGCUUCAGCAGGACUUACGCGGAUAGCCCGGCCACCUAGAUCAACACCAUCCAGGCUUUCAAUUGCAUCGUUGACCUCCUGAGCGGAACUGUAUGUUACAAAUCCAAAGCCCCUUGAUCUACCGCUAUCUCUAUCAUAGACUACUUUGGCAUCCACGACCUUUCCUUGCUCACUGAACAAGGUCUCA
rnacentral:misc_RNA from 1 species